rnacentral:ncRNA from 1 species
CGACCUGAACUCAGACGUGAACACCCGCUGAACUUAAGCAUAUCAGUAAGCGGAGGAAAAGAAACUAACGAGGAUUCCCGUAGUAACGGCGAGUGAACUGGGAAGAGUCCAGCGCUGAAUCACUUCUCCUCUGGGGUUGUGAGGUGUAGCGUACAGACCGUGAGCUUGGAUUGGCCCGCUUGUUCAAGUUUCCCUUGACCGGGGCUCCAGAGAAGGUGCAAGACCUGUCCAACGGGUGGUUGCCUAUCCAUCUUCGCGUGUCUUGGAGUCGGGUUGUUUGGGAUCGCAGCCCAAAGUAGGUGGUAAACUUCAUCUAAGACUGAAUACGGCCACGAGUCCGAUAGCGAACAAGUACCGUGAGGGAAAGUUGCAAAGCACUUUGAAGAGAGAGUUAAAGAGGACGUGAAACCGAUGAGAUGGAAACGGACAGAGCUGGCGUAUCUGGUCUGCAUUCAUCCGUGUGUUCUUGGGCGUUUGGAUUGCCUAACUCCAGACUGGGAUGGUGUUC